rnacentral:rRNA from 1 species
GGCGGGAUGCUUACCUGCAGUCGAACGGUGUCUUCGGACACAGUGGCGGACGGGUGAGUAACGCGUGAGAAUCUAGCUUCAGGUCGGGGACAACCACUGGAAACGGUGGCUAAUACCGGAUGUGCCGGAAGGUAAAAGGCUUGCUGCCUGAAGAUGAGCUCGCGUCUGAUUAGCUAGUAGGUGGGGUAAGAGCCUACCUAGGCGACGAUCAGUAGCUGGUCUGAGAGGACGAUCAGCCACACUGGGACUGAGACACGGCCCAGACUCCUACGGGAGGCAGCAGUGGGGAAUUUUCCGCAAUGGGCGAAAGCCUGACGGAGCAAUACCGCGUGAGGGAGGAAGGCUCUUGGGUUGUAAACCUCUUUUCUCAGGGAAGAACACAAUGACGGUACCUGAGGAAUCAGCAUCGGCUAACUCCGUGCCAGCAGCCGCGGUAAUACGGAGGAUGCAAGCGUUAUCCGGAAUGAUUGGGCGUAAAGCGUCCGCAGGUGGCAAUGUAAGUCUGCUGUUAAAGAGUGAGGCUCAACCUCAUAAAAGCAGUGGAAACUACAUAGCUAGAGUGCGUUCGGGGCAGAGGGAAUUCCUGGUGUAGCGGUGAAAUGCGUAGAUAUCAGGAAGAACACCGGUGGCGAAAGCGCUCUGCUAGGCCGCAACUGACACUGAGGGACGAAAGCUAGGGGAGCGAAUGGGAUUAGAUACCCCAGUAGUCCUAGCCGUAACGAUGGAUACUAGGCGUGGCUUGUAUCGACCCGAGCCGUGCCGUAGCUAACGCGUUAAGUAUCCCGCCUGAGGAGUACGCACGCAAGUGUGAAACUCAAAGGAAUUGACGGCGCCCCACACAAGCGGUGGAGUAUGUGUUUUAAUUCGAUGCAACGCGAAAAACCUUACCAGAACCUGACAUGUCACGAACCUUUGUGGAAACAAAGGGUGCUUCCGGGAACGCAACCCGGUGUGCUGCGUGGCUGUCGUCAGCUCGUGUCGUGAGAUGUUGGGUUAAGUCCCGCAACGAGCGCAACCCUCGUUUUUAGUUGCCAGCAUUAAGUUGGGCACUCUAGAGAGACUGCCGGUGACAAACCGGAGGAAGGUGGGGAUGACGUCAAGUCAGCAUGCCCCUUACGUCUUGGGCUACACACGUACUACAAUGCUCCGGACAGAGGGCAGCGAGCUAGCGAUAGCAAGCAAAUCCCGUAAACCGGAGCUCAGUUCAGAUCGCAGGCUGCAACUCGCCUGCGUGAAGGAGGAAUCGCUAGUAAUUGCAGGUCAGCAUACUGCAGUGAAUUCGUUCCCGGGCCUUGUACACACCGCCCGUCACACCAUGGAAGCUGGCAACGCCCGAAGUCAUUACUCCAACUCUCGGAGAGGAGGAGCCUAAGUCAGUCG